CCUGGACUCAACAUAGACUUCACACAGGUAUUGCAUGGAGAGCAGUUUCUGGAGCUUUAUAAACCUCUACCAACCUCAGGUACUCUAAUCUCUGAGGCCAAGAUAGCAGACAUUUUGGACAAAGGAUCUGGAGCUGUCAUCCUCUUGGAUG